rnacentral:tRNA from 1 species
GGUCUCGUAGCUCAGUUGGCUAGGGCGUUGGCUGUACUAAAGCUUUCUUCUUAAUGGUGUGGGAUCGAAUCCCACCGGGGCCG